UAAACGUCUCAGUUCGGAUUGUAGUCUGCAACUCGACUACAUGAAGUCGGAAUUGCUAGUAAUCGCAGAUCAGCAUGCUGCGGUGAAUACGUUCCCGGGCCUUGUACACACCGCCCGUCACACCAUGAGAGUUGGGGAUACCCGAAGCCUGUGAGCUAACUUUUAGAGGCAGCAGUCGAAGGUAGAAUCAAUGAUUGGGGUGAAGUCGUAACAAGGUAAC
rnacentral:rRNA from 1 species